UACGGAGGGUGCAAGCGUUAUCCGGAUUUACUGGGUUUAAAGGGAGCGUAGGUGGGUCGGUAAGUCAGUGGUGAAAUCUUCGAGCUUAACUCGGAAACUGCCAUUGAUACUAUCGAUCUUGAAUUAUCUGGAGGUAAGCGGAAUAUGUCAUGUAGCGGUGAAAUGCUUAGAUAUGACAUAGAACACCCAUUGCGAAGGCAGCUUACUACGGAUAUAUUGACACUGAGGCUCGAAAGCGUGGGGAUCAAACAGG
rnacentral:rRNA from 2 species